AUGUGUAGCAGCCAAAUGGGUUGCUACAGCCAAAAUGUGUUGUCACUCAAUGUGUAAUGUCCCUGUUUGUACACUGGGUGUUGCCGUGCAUUGCACAGGUGUUUUUAGGCAUAUAGGUAGGAAGCCUACUGUUGUGGUUAGGUGUUGACCCCGGAAGGGCAAAUGGUUUUGACCGCUAUACCGCGAAGGUUUGAGUAACAUGUCGUUGCUCUGCGUUUUAAUGGACAAUAAAUGGAGAACUGUUUAACGAACGCAAUGCGUGUAUGGACUUUAUCUCGCUGAGGAUCUAAGCGCGUCAACCAGGUUAUUCCUGGGGUACAACAACCCAGUAGCUCAGUAGUGUACUGUGCUCCCACACAGUCAAAACCAGCCGCUAAUUGGAAGUUUCUGCGGAGUUCGACGGAGUCCUCGAGCUGUUUGGAAAUUACGAGAGCUGCUUGGAGACCGAGGAAUUGAAUGCUCGAAGCUGGAGCUGAGGAUGUCUGUUGACCUACUUCUUGGUCUAUACUACUACGGCGCCCAACGUACAAGGUAACCCGGGUGUAGUGCUACAUUGUGUCAUGGCCAUUUAAUUUGUGUGCACACAUACCGGGGAAAUCCAAUGCAUUGGUAAUCGUGGGUUCGCUAUGACUCUGUAUUGACUGCUCAUGUCGUUUGUUUGGAGGACUAACACUAUCGUUCGAUUGAACUGAUUAUCAUGGAGCCGUGCAAGGCGACAAACGAGACUAUUAACGUUGGAGGGACUGACGUACAAACUGCGAGUGGUUCCAAAACUGACGUGACUCAGAAACGAGUUGUUAAACUCACUGCCAAGGCACUUGCUGAGAAAUUGGAUAAGUUACAAACUGAUAGAAAGGCCAAAUUGAACAAGGCAAACGUCAUUAGAAAAUCAAUAAGAAAUUACAUGGUAAAAAAUGAGAAAACACAGGCAGAGAAUGAUCUUAAUGAAUUAAUUGAUUCAUGCAAUGAAAUAAAAUGUAUACAUGAAUCUUUGUUGCAACUGCUGCCUUCUGAUGAAAAAGAGAAACAUGUAAUAUGGUUUGAAGCGAAAAUGUUGUCUAAUGAUGAGUGUAUUGCUAAUGCAAAUGUGUGGAUGUCUUGUAGCAACAGUCACGAUGGGAAUGUUAUUUCAACUAAUGCUGUCUCUAACAUCCAUCAAAGUAUUAUUGUGGAACAACUAAGUGUGUGUGACGAUGUGCAAAAGGCUAAUUUAACUGAUGUUUCCAGUUAUGUACAUGGUGGCACCGUUGAAAAUGUAGCUAUGCAAAAUAAUGGGCUCAAUGUUGAUCCAAUUGAUAUUCCCAGUCAAACCAGUUCUGUCUCAAAAAUGCUUACACACAAUAAUGUGUCCAGCGUUGUGCACAAAGGUGUUGAGGAUGAGGUAAAUCCAGAUGACAGUAUUUCCAAUGUUGCAAGCAACUGCUCAAGUCGAAAGAGUGGCAUGAGUAAAGUAAGCACCACUUCCUCAGCAAGGAUAAGGGCUGAGGCAGAAAGAGCUGCACUCAUUACUCGUGCCGCAGUCUUGAAGGAAAGACAUGCCUUGGAGGAGCUGGAACAACAGCUGAGAAGAAGAAGGGAGCAGCUUGACAUGGAAACUGAUUUAGCUGCAUCCACUGCUAAGUUGGCUGUGUUGCAGGCCUCAGAUGUGAAAAGUUGUUCUCGAGCACCCACAGAUGGCAUGAACUCCUAUUUGGAAAAGGAAAAAAGUAAACGGCAACCUGUCAGCAUCUUGAACCCUUCAGCAAAGGAAUUUAAUGCAGAACCCUGGAAAUCAACACAACCAAUCAAUGUCACCAACCAAUCAUUACUACCCAAUGACCCACCACCACUGGAUGUGAGGAGGAAGGAGACCGAGAGCUGGUGUAUGGCAGCCUCAACCCAGUGGUAUAAGUCCAAUGAGCAGCAACAAACCAACAUGUCAAGGAGAACAGUACCGUCAAACAACCCGCCAUUCCUGGAUGUGCAAAGAAAGGAAAUGGAUCGACGGUGCAAGGCUGCUUCAAGACAGUGGUACGUAGGUGAACAACAGCCACUUGACCUAUCAAAAGAAUUACCAUCAUCUAACGAUCCACCACCAUUGGAUAUGCGUAGAAAGGAAGCAGAACAGUGGCACGAAGCCAUCCCAAGGCAGUGGUGUAACCCAAAUGAACACUGGCAAGAAAACAUGGGAACAUCACAACAAUCUCGUCAUCAGCCUUUACUGGCCCCCUUGGAGGGAAGUCAAAGACAGCUCUCAUAUCAUCAACCUGUUGGUCAAUAUUCAUCUAGUGACCUCUUUUCCAUUAUGCAGAGGCAAAAUGAUAUAACUGCUGCUCUGGUGCGACAACAGCACACAUCAUCCUUACCACCCCGAGAAAUUCCCAUAUUUGAAGGGGAUCCUCUCCAGUAUAGGGCAUUCAUCAGGGCCUUUGAGCAAGGAGUCGAAGGGAAAGCAGGAAAGGCAGACUGUCUAUAUCACUUGGAACAGUUUACAAGAGGACGACCGCAGGAAUUGGUGCGCAGCUGCCAGCACAUGAACCCAGAACGAGGCUUUUCUGUGGCAAAAGUGCUCUUGCAGGAACACUUUGGCAAUCCAUACAAAAUUGCAGCUGCCUAUAUGGAGAAAGCUCUAGCAUGGGAAAUGAUAAAAUCCGAGGAUACUAAAUCCCUUCAAACAUACUGCUUAUUCCUGCGGGGCUGCUGUAAUGUAAUGGAAGAGUUGCCAUAUGUUCAGGAGCUCGAUAUGCCGGUGAAUAUGAGAACUAUCCUCGCUAAGUUACCCUUUAAAAUGAGGGAGCAAUGGAGGACCCAGGCACAUGUAAUAAUGGAGACUUCUAACCAGAGAGCCCAUUUCUAUGAUUUGAUCAUAUUCAUUGAAAGACGAGUGAAAAUUCUUUCCGACCCCCUGUUUGGUGAUCUACAGGAUCAAUCAUCUAAUGCUGUAGUAGGAAAGAACUUCACCAAGUUUAACUCACAGCCCAGAGAUAGAGUAAAAGGAAAUGUCGUCGCCACCACAGUAACAUCUCUGGCUUUGCAUGAGGGAGAUCCUGAAGGAACUGCAGACUCAGACACGCCUGACGACAUUGAAUGUCUUUAUUGUGCUCAAAGUCACGAUUUAGAGGAAUGCAGACAGUUUCAGAGAAAAAGGCACAGGGAAAGGAUUGGCUUCUUGAAAUACAGAGGAGUUUGUUUCGCGUGUUUACAUCCUGGGCACAUCAGUCGUUAUUGUGAGCAGCGCUUGACUUGUAAGUCCUGUGGUCUAACUCACCCUACUGUACUUCAUAUCGAGGGACGCACUACAACUCAACAUCAAGCAAGGGUACAAUCCAACAAUCCAUCAACUUAUGUAAAGACACUCCGUGGCCAUACAGGGGCCGGCGAGGGAUGUACUGCAAUUCAGGAAUAUUCGAGGGAACAAUCCAGGAAUCAGUCGACUUCACUCAAACUCUGUGGCCAUACAGGGGCCGGUCAGGAUCGAUGCGCACUAUCCAUUAUACCUGUGAAAGUAAAAUCAGCUAAAGGGAAUCGGAUCAUAAGUACAUAUGCCUUCUUGGACGCUGGUAGCUCUGCUACUUUUUGCUCAGAACACUUAAUGCAGAAGUUGAACAUUACAGGCAGAAGGACUAACUUCCUGUUGCGGACUAUGGGCCAAGAAAAGGUUGUUCCGGCUUAUUCCCUCACUGGGUUAGAGAUUACUGGUCUGAACAGCAACAAUUUUCACAUCCUUCCAGAAGUUCUUACCCAGAAAGACAUGCCGGUCACUGUAGAUGACAUGGUAAAUUCAGAAGAGUUGGUUAAAUGGCCCCAUCUGUCUAAGGUGCAUAUCCCUAGCAUAAAGGCAAAUGUUGACCUGCUGAUAGGUGCCAAUGCUGCUUGGAUAUUGGAACCCUGGGAAGUUAUAAACAGUUGUGGAAAUGGCCCAUAUGCUAUCAGGACGUUGCUCGGAUGGGCCAUCAAUGGUCCCUUGACUAAACACGAUGAACCCUUGGAGCGACAACUUCCCUCUGCUACAGUGAACAGGAUUGCUAUUUGUAAAUUGGGAAAAUUGCUGACUGAUCAGUACAAAAAUGAAUUUGAUGAUAACCUCACAGAAGAGAAGGAAAUGUCAAGAGAAGACCACAGUUUCCUGGAAAUAGCAGAACAAUCAGCUGUUCUCCAGAAUGGGAGGUAUUGCCUGAAAUUGCCUUUCAAGAGGAAAGAGGUAUUUCUACCCAAGAACUCUGCGAUAGCCGAGCAAAGGAUUCAGGGCUUAAAGAAAAGGUUUCUGAACAACAAAGACAAUCCAGCAGAUGAUGCAUCAAGAGGGUUGAAAGUUGCCGAUCUACUGAAGAACGACAGGUGGCUGGAAGGCCCUGCAUUUCUUUGGAAAAGUGAGGAGGAUUGGCCCAACUUGGCAUUGGACACUUUAGUGGACUCCAACGAUCCAGAGGUUGGACGGCAGGUGACCAUAAAUGCCAUUAAUGUGGAUAAUAACCUCAGUCCUGCUAGACAGCCAAUUGGCUACUUUUCCGAUU
ensembl:lncRNA